UGGCAUACCUGACAGGGGAGAUACCGUGAUCACGAAGGUGUUUUUUUCAGGGCAAGGCUUAUCCAUUGCACUCCCAUUGUGCUGACCCCUGAAAUUUCCCCUAACGCAGGAAACUCGACUACAUAAUUUUUAGUAGUGGGGGACUGCAUUCACGCUCUCCCCUG
ensembl:snRNA Gm24624 predicted gene, 24624